CUGUCUAGUUGAAUGUAUUUCACCUUCUGUUAUAAUACUGACCUCCAAUGUUUCAGGGACUGUGAAAGACACCCUCAUAGCAGGUUGGAAUCCUGAUUCUAGGAUAAAAUAUCAAAAUUUCCCCCAGUAUUUCCAAAUAACUGGGCUUUACAGCCAUUUUGGGUACCUUUUGGAGGCACACAUAGAAUUUUCCAUUUUAAAUGUUUUAUAGGAAACAUCAUAUUAGUUGCUAUGUUACAAAACAUGUCAUACUACACUUUGGGGGUGUUUG
rnacentral:lncRNA from 1 species